GCAACGGGCGCAACCCUUGUCUUUAGUUGCCAUCAUGAAGUUGGGCACUCUAGAGAGACGGCCAGGGAUAACCUGGAGGGAGGGGGGGAGGACGUCAAAUCAUCAUGCCCCGUAUGCUUAGGGCUACACACGUGCUACAAUGGGUAGUACAGAGGGUUGCCAAGCCGUAAGGUGGAGCUAAUCCCUUAAAGCUAUUCUCAGUUCGGAUUGUAGGCUGAAACUCGCCUACAUGAAGCUGGAGUUACUAGUAAUCGCAGAUCAGAAUGCUGCGGUGAAUGCGUUCCCGGGUCUUGUACACACCGCCCGUCACACCACGGGAGUUGGAGACGCCCGAAGCCGAUUAUCUAACCUUUUGGAAGAAGUCGUCGAAGGUGGAAUCAAUAACUGGGGUGAAGUCGUAACAAGGUAGCCGUAUCGGA
rnacentral:rRNA from 1 species